rnacentral:ncRNA from 1 species
UCCACUAAAGAGGAUCAUCACCAGACCCUGAUGGCGUUUGCAAAAUACGCACAAAAUACGCACGCUCACGCCCUGCCACUAAGCCACGGUAUUUUGCGUAUUGUAAUUUCAACACGAGCGGGAUGGAAUCCUUUGCGACGACUUAGCUGUGCGAAACGGUCCUGUAAGCAGUAGAGUGGCCUUGUUGUUACGAUCUGCUGAGGGUAAGCCGUACUUUGCCCCGAUUU